rnacentral:tRNA from 1 species
ACCUGGCUGCCUCAGUUGGUAGAGCAUGCGACUUGUGAUCUCAGGGUCAUGAGUUCAAACCCCAUGGUGGGUG